rnacentral:tRNA from 3 species
GGGCAUUUAGCUCAGUCGGUAGAGCACCUGACUUUUAAUCAGGGAGUCAUAGGUUCGAAUCCUAUAAUGCCCACCA